UCGUAACAUUUUAGCACAGUGGCCUCUCACAUGGAAUAACUGAUAUUGUCCUGCUUUAUUUGUGUAUCAAUUUCUUUAGGGCCGUCAACUGUAAAAUUAUAAAUUUUUACGUAAAGCUACACUAUGUAACUUUUGGCCCUCUAGCGGUUAAAAAAUAAAACUGCAUGUGUCUUGCCGAAGAACAUUGUUUAUGUAAUGAUACAAGUGGUGUUUCGGCUCUGCUCCUCUGCGUGGAUGAAUGUGGCUCAAGGCACCGUUGUCACAUGAAUACAGGACAUCUUAUCAGAGUGAAUGGACAAAUAAAUAAUGAAAGAAAUUUGAGCAGGUAUUUGAGAACUUGGCCAGGGACAGGAUUUGAAAUCAUGCUUCACUGAACGUGUGAAAUGGCCUCCUUAGUGGAAAAAGGAACAUGCCUAUUAAACGUCACGUCACGCUCCAAGAAUCAUGCUCGUCUGACUUUUUGGCAGUUUACCAAAUGUAUGGUCCAAGAUAUUUACAUAAGUGAUAAACAGCUGUACAUUGAGGGGAAUGUGCCACGUUGUCUCCAAUGAUUUUAGGUCACACAAACAAGCCCCGGAUUUUUAUUCUGCCCAUUUGCACUGCCUGUCACCUCUGUUUGUGCUGCCUGUUGUGCAGCACUAUUGGGGACUGGUGAUGACAUAGAUGAGUGAGUGCAAUUAAGGCCACACUGAGCCAUCAAAAUUCUAAGUAUUGCGCGAGACAGUGCCAUAUCUCAGUAAACUUCUCUCUCGCUCUCUCUCUCUCUCUCCAUGAGACAACACAAUUUAUAUAAACAGAACUUGAUGAACAGUAUCUCUUAACACACCACUGACAAUAAACAAAAUUUGUUUAUGUAAUUGAGAAGAGCCCACUGAAUGACGCAAA